UACGUAGGGGGCAAGCGUUGUCCGGAUUUAUUGGGCGUAAAGAGCGUGUAGGCGGCCUGAAAGGUCAGCUGUGAAAACUCGAGGCUCAACCUCGAGACGUCGGUUGAAACCAUCUGGCUAGAGUCCGGAAGAGGAGUGUGGAAUUCCCGGUGUAGCGGUGAAAUGCGCAGAUAUCGGGAAGAACACCCGUGGCGAAGGCGGCGCUCUGGAACAUUUCUGACGCUGAGGCUCGAAAGCGUGGGGAGCAAACGGG
rnacentral:rRNA from 1 species